AGGUAUUUGAUCGUAACCUGUUCUCUGGGAGUUGGAUUUUCCUGUGUUGUGCAGUUUGUGUUUUUCAGCUUUUUUAUGUUAAUAUUUUCCUCCUUGAUCUGUGUUCUUUUAUAGUCUGCCUAUGGUUAGACAUAUGUAUUUCCAUCUAUCAUUUGUUAGUCUGGUUUCAUGAGGAGUUAAAAGAAAAUUAUUCCAUUUUGUAUAUUGGUGGUCUCAUUGUAGUUAACACUUUGUUUGGUCAUGGAACUAUUAACUAUUCUUUACUUUACCGUACUGCUGUCUCUGGUACGAGAUACUUGAUAUGAUAAUUUGACUAUGCUGAGCUUUCUUAAGCUUUUAGAUCUCAUAUAUAUUUGUUUAUCGUCAUGUAUCAUGACAGGAUGAGAACAACCAUUUGUUAGAAGAAAAGAAGCUUAAGAAAGUCUUUCUUGCUAUAAAUCUCUAUAUAGAAAUCAAUUUCAUGUCACAUUGUCGACGUGUAGUUACGCAAAUGAAUCUGAUUUCUAAAAGACGGUACAUAGAUGAUCUGAUUUGUUUUUUGUUUUUGUUUUUGCUUUUAUCUUUUUUGUAAUUAAUAUGUAGGCUAAUGCGACAUCAAGGAUCAUCGUGAAUGAUUACCACCAGUUUAAGUUCUUAAACUGAAAAUAAAAAGAACUUUUCACGUUAUAAUUUGUGAAUUUAAGAAGCAAGUCAUAACGGAUUUUUAACUCCAUACGUAAUAUGAUGUUGCAAAACUUUUUAUGAACCGGAAGAAAGAUAAGAAGUUUGGUAGCAGUUGAGUUUGGUGUUUGGUAAAUUGCACUCCAGUGUAGUCCUGGUCUAAAUGUUCCAAUACAUAUUCUCAUUAGUAAUAUCAUGUGAUACCUGAUUGACCCAAGAAAACGGGGAACAGAAAAUUUCGAUAGGACAAUGCUGGGAGAAGCAGGAUCUGUCAUUGUGUCAAGCCUUGAAGUUACUUUCCCGUAGAUUGUUAAUGGAAGCCACCUUAUAACAUAUGCCUAGAUAGAAAGAUAUACCAGAAUUUAAAGAUUAUCCAAAGCGCUUAUAUCCAUGGAAUGCAGCAGGUAGGAAGGCAAUUUCAACAUCUUUCCUUGAAGUGAUAAAUGAAAAUUUUAAGAAUGUGAGAUUGAGAAGAUUUUCAAGCAUUCAAUUGCAACAGGUAUGUGUGUUUGGGUAGGUUUUUAUGUGUAAAUGAAAUAAUAUUUUUUACAUACUACCAUCUUUAUUCAUUGGGGGUGCGAUUUGCUUAAAGAUUCGUUGAUUGUCAAAGCCUCAUCUAUAAUCUAGAGACUCAGUGACGUCAUAGUAGGACAUGAGGUCAGAUACAUAAGCUUUAAGUUGCAGCCAUUACUUAAGUAAACCGUAUGAAAAAGAGAAAUAUAUAAAGAAAAGAAAAAUUAUUUUCGAUACACCAUGUUUAUGAAUUGGACUUAAUAUCUUUAAGGCUACCCACCAUUAAUAUUAUAGCUACAAGCCUACAACAAACCAAAUGCUUCAGAUCAUAUUGCAUGUAUAAAAAUAUAUAUGUGUGUGAACUGAGUACUAUUGUUGGUAUCGCAUCAUAUAGCGGAGCUGAGGCUAGGCCUAGCAGUUAGUUUAAGAUACGCAGGCUGUCCUGCAUAUGUAUUAUGUAGUCCCUUGCAUCCUGCAUUUCUCUCCCCAGCACGUUUUCAUGUCACUCCUCCUCUAUUUUUUAUAUAUGCACUAUUCUGAAUUGAAUCUGUAUCCUUUGCGAAAUUAAAACACCCGCAGAGGCAAGCAUCACUGGCUAGCUACCUCCUGCAUGGGUUUCGCAUGUAUAUUGUUAUUAUCUACUCAAUAUUAUAUACUACUACAUGACCACCAGGUGUAUGAAUUUUCACUCUUAAUUUUCAAGAAAUGACUAUUUAUUAGGUAAGCAGUUUAGACUGCUAUCCUGAGUACUUCUUUUGUCAUUGAUUGUAUGUUCUGUAUUUAGAAAAUUAGAGCUAACAGAGUUUUUAGCAUAGUCUUCUUUUCAUUGUCAACAUUAGUAAACCUGUUCCUUCAUCUUAGACGAGCUUUAACUUACCUUCGCUGUAUAUAAAAAUGAUCUGGAAAGAGUUCUUUAUGCACUCUGAUUUAUAGGCUGGAGGAGCAUUCGUGAAGGGUGUUUGUGUUCUAUAAUUACCUGCAGUUAUGUGUCAGCAUGUGUAAGCUCCAUGAUUAAGAUACAGUAGUGAAACUUCUACCCUGCUCUAUAUGAAACGUUUAUUUUGUGAUGCGAUAUCUCAAGUUGCAAGGAAGUAUGUUCAAGAUCUUUAUAAAGGAUGCACAUAGAGAUGUUAAUAACCUUUACCUACUACCAUAAUAUAUGGCGUGCCUGUUUAUUACAUCUCUCAAGCAGCAUAUCUAUUAUUUGAUUUUGAUGAGUUUCAUUGAUUUUAUAGGUAUGGGAGCUGCCUAUGGCAUUCUUCUUAACCGGUUACUAAUUUUUUUUGGUGCAGUGGAUGUUUUAAAUGGUGUGUGGAAACUAAAGAAAGUGAUGGUCGGAAAGCAGGUACACGAGACUUCUUAAACUAAAAUGAAUUCUUAUUAUUCAUAUUGUUGGGGCAAGUUCUUAUAUAUGUACAAGUUGAUUUUGUAUAUUAAAUAUGAGCCAUUAGCUGAAUCAUUUUCCCAUCAGGUUAGCUACCCACAUGGCUGAUCUUCUCCGCCACAGGAGGUCACUGUUCUGUCACCCUGUUCUCCCCCCCCCCCCACACUUUAUCAUGAGAAACUGCUUAACUUUAUUGUGAUAAACUAAAGAAAUAAAAAAAGAGAGAGAGAAUUUAGUUCGGUGUUUUUUUCAGUUCAGACGUGUAACUGAGCGCGUCAAGUGCCAACAUUCAUUCUUCUACGCUAAUGAUAUUCGGCAUUUGUGAUUUUAAGAUUUUUUGAAGUGACUUGAAAAAACGACCAAAUUACUCCUUUGCGGAGGCAAUUGAGUGGUGACAACUGAGUAGUCUAUAUAUGUCUGGAAUAUUGAAUUUUAUGUUGUUUCACUAAUUUGUCAAAUGUUUUUUAUGAACAGGAAUUCUUUCACUACAAUCGACAUGGUGUGCAAAUGAUAAAUGGAAAAUUUAGCUUAUUUGAUUAAUUUACGUCAUUUUAGAACAGUAUAUCACAGAAACUCAAAUUGAGAUGCCAUCAAAAGGAUUCCAAGGAGAGAGAUGCUACAUUUUUCACACCAGGUACCAUUUUGUGUACUUCAAGAAACAAGAACUCUCUAUAUACAGCUCUUCCAAAUAUAUAUCUUAAAGCCGCCGAAGGGGAUAUUGUUUUUGCCACUAUGAAUCUUAAAAAUUAGAUUAUGUCUUGAGUGAUGUUUUCUAAGGGUUUUAUUAAAUGCCCUGUAUCAUUUCUAUAUUUGAUUUGGCUGUGUUUUCUAUUGUGCAUUAGCAUAUUUUACUUUUUCUUCGUUUUACAGACUCAUAAAUCACUGCCUUUUUAUUUAUUGAUUGGUCUUGGACUAAAUAUAAAUAUCUACAAUAUAGAUCAGUCUGCAAAUUGUUUAAAGAAUGUGAGUCUUUUUGAGAAGUUAUUACUUGCUCCCUUGGUAUACUCUGUUUAGAGUUGUUUUAAUACAUGCGUUUAAAGUUGUUUGAAUACAAUACUUGGCCGUUGAAUCUGAUCAGGCUUGACAAGCCCGGGUUAUGUUUGUUUAUGCAUUUUAAUUAUAAUUAAAUUAUUUUGUCAAGUAUAAGUAGAUGACCCAUAAAUAGUAAAAUAUUUUGUCAAAAAUAGGUGACCACUGACCAGUGACAUAAUAUGCUUGCCAAUUUACAAUGGUAGGUUUUUUAGUGUUGUCAUUGCAAUAUUCAUUUUGAUUUUAUGCUAUCCAGUAGAGUGUAGCCAUUUUUCUGCACAGCAACUUGCAAUAUUAGCUUAACAACAUUUGCUUUUCAUGGCUGCUGAAACUAAGCUUGGUGACGACAUGCCCUAAAUUCUUGAUAAUGGCAAUUUGGUUGUGCUGAUCUGAGCAGGAAUUUAACUCAUCAUAUGAGCUUUUUGAGAAGGUAUUAGUCUGCAAAUUGUUUUCGGAUUAUAACAAAAUACUAACAAUCAGGUAACAUAUGCAGACCUCAUACAUAAUAUUAGAAGGAGAUAUCAUGUUCAAAUAUAAAGAUAACAUAUCUAGGUACUAUUGUAGAGUUAGUUUUCUGAUCGCUUAUUUGUAGUGUAGGUUCAAAUGAGAACCAAAUUUGGUUCACUCCGAGAUAAAAUGAAAUUUAUUAUCAUAUAGGCUAGAAAUGAUUAGUUCUCUGUAUCAUUUUGAGCAUAUACAGCUUUGAGUCGGUUCCUAUAUAGUAUAUAGACGUUAUUUCUACAUUGUAGUUAAAAUAUUAGGAUACCUCGGCUAGAUAGAUCCUUGAUCGAGAUGGAACAUAAAGGUUUGUACUGUAUCAUGGUUUAUUCAGAUGUUCAAAUGUAAUCGGAUGUGUUUUCAGUUAUGGUUUAAUCUCGAACAGGUCGUAAAUUGUAUGAAGGGGAUUGUUUUGAAUUGGGGAAAAGAUGAGUAGGCCUGUUUUAUGCGGAAAUUUCGAGUACGAAACUCGCCAAUCGGACCUGGAGCGUUUGUUUUCCAAGUACGGGAGAGUUGAGCGCGUCGACAUGAAAUCUGGAGAAGCAUAGUAACUAUGUUUGGUGCGGUCUGCUAUUUCCGUCUACUGACUUGAAGAAUGGUAUGUACAUGUAUGAAAGGAAUAUAUAUAUAUUUGUGGUUAAUACUCAUGCUAUUUAUAAAGAAAUUUAAGCUGAUAUAGAACUCAGACUUCAUGUAAGGUUGAUAAUUUUUUUUAGUGGCCUUAAGAUAUGGAAGAAACCUGAAGUGGAAAAUCCUGGAUUUUGUAUUUUGUAUUUUACGAGGGAUUCGGUAGUUUACCAGUGGUUGAAAGUAAUGGCAAUGUGGUGAUAUAAGCAUCAGAGACAUUCAGUUCCUACCACUUGCACCUGUUGUUUACAAGGAAUAAAGGUAUCGAAGUUGGGUUAUUUAUAUUCCAGCAGCUUCAUCACUUGGAUGCUAAUCAUGGUAUAGGAAGAUAGUUCCAGAUCGCUAUUAUUACUCAACUGGUAAUGUUGAGACUUAAGGUUACUUGACUGCAUCUAAUUAUGUUUUUCAUUCUUUCACUUUUCAUGAUUUCAUAUUAUCUUAUUAGUAAUCGAAGUGUAGUCGAGGAUAUACAAAUUCAAAGUACUGAGCUUUAGCGGUUAACUAUCUUUUAUGCCUGUAAGAGUACUAUUAUACUGUUUCUGGAAUCCCCUGGCUGUAGCUUUCCUGUAAACAAACAUAUAGCAUCACAAUUUAAUUCCUUUAACUUUUAUUUUAAAUUUAAAUUAUGACUCCUCUUUAUUCUAAAACCAGCUCCUAUAAUAUCUUUACUGAUAUCCAUUGAAGUUAGUCUGUUUGACCUGUAUUUCUGUUCUGAGAGUUGAUUUUAAUAUUACUGGAUUUACACCCCUAUAUCAGAGUAGUUUAUUUCUUGGAAUUAUUUGAGAUUCCAGAUGAUAUCCAGAAAAGUUAGGAUAUAACCACACCCAUUAAGUUUCUGAUUUGUUUGGCAAACCUCGAACCCAUAGUUACCAACAACUGUGCAAAAAUUACUUGACAUGCUGAAUUCGAUUGCCAAAUUUCAAGCAUUGAAGUUUCAACUGGUAGUAUACCUAUUCAAGUCGACUCAGAGCUUGGUCCUGUCCGAGUCUAAAAUGCUCUAGAAGCAAGAAGUUAAUUGUUUCUUACAAGUAGAAUCAAUAGUUUAUAAGUUAACUAUGCAAUUUAGAGAGCCCCGUCCAUCUGCAGGAGACCGGCUUUCUUUUUUUCUUUUUCUUUUUGCAGGCCAAGGAGAUGAAUUCCGUCCAAUGUGUUGAGAACACUUCAUGAGAAAUUUAUCCUGCUGUCUUUCUAAGAGUCCAAGUUGAGGAGCUAGCAAGGUUUCAGAGACAUAUUCUGUUUCUGUUGGGGACAUUUAGCUAAUAAAGUUGUCUAAGUUGAUCGUUUUGUGAAUUCUGGAGAUCCUGCACCUCUUGCAAAUGGUGAACCAGUAUAUGUUGCCAAUAUAGAAUACAGUGAUCCUCCCGUGACUGUAAACUGGUUUCUGGUAACUUUUUUGUAGAAACUUUGUUGUCCGUAUGAAAUCUUCUUUCAGAAUAUAAUAAUUAAAAUCUUAGCAGAGGGGCUUACAAUGUUGAAAU